rnacentral:lncRNA from 1 species
GCAAGUUUUUUUUUCACUUUAGUUCUGGCAUCGCAUUUUGCGAAUUGCGAGGAGAGCUCAGUUGUAAAGGGUGCAUAUUUGUGGCUCUGUUAAAUAUAAAGAGGAUACUUGGAUCACUUAGAGUAUUUGUGUUUUAGAUCAAAAUCAUGGGUGUGGACGUUCUGAACCAUAUGACUCCUGUUUUACCGAGAAAACAGGUAUCUUCGAAAUCAUCCAAAAAACGCGCACCAACGUCGAAACCACCGUUCACCCUUGGACAGCUUAAAGCCCUUGUACCUCCUCAUUGCUUCCAACGCUCCCUACCUAGGUCCUUAUUUCACCUCGUACAUGACUUGGUCAUAAUAGCCGUAUUUUCUUACGUGGCCGUCACCUACAUUCCGCUGCUUCCGUGGCCGGUGCAAUGGCUAGCGUGGCCCCUUCACUGGGUCGCAACCGGGACUGUUGCCUUUGGUUUGUGGUUCUUAGGCCACGAGUUGGGACACCAGGCAUUCAGCGAAUACGAAUGGCUCAACGAUAUGAUUGGGUUUCUCGUCCACUCCAGCAUGCUUGUGCCUUAUCAAUCAUGGAAAUUCAGCCAUCAUCUGCAUCAUGUCCACACUGGUUCUCUUGAGAAAGAUGUCGCUCAUCUCCCGCGUCAAAAACCGUCGACAUUACGGAGGUACCUGAACAGCCCUGUUGGUCGCAUCAUCUUCCUCCUCCUUAUCCUCACGGUUGGCUGGCCGCUGUACCUAAUCUGCAACCUAACCGGGCGCAAGUAUUCGAGAUUCAACAGCUUCCUCGAUCCGAACGCCCCGAUGUACCCACCCCGCAUGCGCCUCCAGGUGCAUCUCGCAAAUGCAGGCGUGCUUGCUAUGGUCUCAUUACUCGCCUGGCUAGCUCACACGCAGGGACUCGCUUGGCUAGCGACCGUGUACUGGGGGCCACUGAUGGUCGUCAACGCGUGGUUGGUCACCAUCACACUCACCAACCACGUCCACCCUUCUCUGCCGCACUACGCCGAGGGGGAAUGGGACUGGUUGCGGGGCACCAUUACCUCCACCGUCGACCGGGAUUUCGGCUGGUUCCUCAAUUACUUGUUUCAUAACACCCCGAAUGUUCACAUGAUGCAUCACUUGUUCCCAAAAAUGCCUCAUUACAGGCUUCAGGAGGCGACUGAUAAACUGAGACCGAUUCUCGGCGAUUAUUAUCAACGGGAUGCUGCACCCCCUCACAAGGCGCUUUAUGAGGCUGUUAAAGAGUGCGUUUUCGUUAAGGAGGAUGUCGACAAAAGGGGGGUCUUUUGGUACAGUGCCUUGCUUGAAGCUAUGAUUGAGCAAUAA